AAAACGUAACAAGGUUUCCCUAGGUGAACCUGCGGAAGGAUCAUUACAGUAUUCUUUUUGCCAGCGCUUAAUUGCGCGGCGAAAAAACCUUACACACUAUGUUUUUUGUUAUUACAAGAACUAUUGCUUUGGUCUGUCUCUAGAAAAAGAUUUGGGCCAGAGGUUUAACUAAACUUCAAAUUUAUAUUGAAAUGUUUUUAAAUUAAAUGUCAAAUUGUUGAUUAAAUUCAAAAAAACUUCAAAACUUUCAACAACGGAUCUCUUGGUUCUCGCAUCGAUGAAGAACGCAGCGAAAAGCGAUAAGUAAAAUGAAAUGCAGAUUUUCGUGAAACAUCGAAACUUUGAACGCACAUUGCGCCCUCUGGUAUUCCAGAGGGCAUGCCUGUUUGAGCGUCAUUUCUCUCUCAAACCCUUGGGUUUGGUAUUGAGUGAUACUCUUAGUCGAACUAGGCGUUUGCUUGAAAAGUAUCGGCAUGAGUAGUACUGAAAAGUGCUUCAAGACUUUUUCAAAGUAUUAGGUUUAUCCAACUCGUUGAAAGGUUUAGUAGUAAAAUUUUAGUAUUAUUGGCUCGGCCUUACAACACAACAAACAAGUUUGACCUCAAAACAGGUAGGACUACCCCCUGAACUUAAGCAUAUCAAAA
rnacentral:rRNA from 1 species